GACGAACGCUGGCGGCGUGCUUAACACAUGCAAGUCGAACGGGAAGGCCCUGCUUUUGUGGGGUGCUCGCGUGGCGAACGGGUGAGUAACACGUGAGUAACCUGCCCUUGACUUUGGGAUAACUUCAGGAAACUGGGGCUAAUACCGGAUAGGAGCUCCUGCUGCAUGGUGGGGGUUGGAAAGUUUCGGCGGUUGGGGAUGGACUCGCGGCUUAUCAGCUUGUUGGUGGGGUAGUGGCUUACCAAGGCUUUGACGGGUAGCCGGCCUGAGAGGGUGACCGGCCACCUUGGGACUGAGAGACGGCCCAGACUCCUACGGGAGGCAGCAGUGGGGAAUAUUGCACAAUGGGCGGAAGCCUGAUGCAGCAACGCCGCGUGCGGGAUGACGGCCUUCGGGUUGUAAACCGCUUUCGCCUGUGACGAAGCGUGAGUGACGGUAAUGGGUAAAGAAGCACCGGCUAACUACGUG
rnacentral:rRNA from 1 species